rnacentral:rRNA from 1 species
CAGCAGCCACGGGAAUACAGAGGGUGCGAGCGUUAAUCGGAUUUACUGGGCGUAAAGCGUGCGUAGGCGGCUUCUUAAGUCGGAUGUGAAAUCCCUGAGCUUAACUUAGGAAUUGCAUUCGAUACUGGGAAGCUAGAGUAUGGGAGAGGAUGGUAGAAUUCCAGGUGUAGCGGUGAAAUGCGUAGAGAUCUGGAGGAAUACCGAUGGCGAAGGCAGCCAUCUGGCCUAAUACUGACGCUGAGGUACGAAAGCAUGGGGAGCAAACAGGAUUAGAUACCCCGGUAGUCCCUGUCUCUUAUAC